rnacentral:tRNA from 1 species
GGUAGUAUAGCUAUAAUAGCGGUAAUUUUAUAAAAGUUACAUGAAGAUGUCUUGCUGUCA